rnacentral:tRNA from 1 species
AGAAGUGUGGCCUACCGGAUAGGACAUAGGACUGGGAGUCAGAAGGAUCUGGGUUCUAAUCCCAGCUCUUCCA